AAAAAAAAGCCCAACCUUUUUUCCAAAUAUUAAUGGAGAAAAAGACAGCUUGAAAAUGAAAAGGAGGGUCUGCAAAGAAGCUAAGGAAAUAGCCAAGAGGCAUCUUCUGAAGCAUCAAAGUUUGAAAUAGCUGAGUGAUCAAGGCAUUGGUCAGUAUCGUCAGGGCUUGUAAAGCGCUUUCCUUUUACAUCCCUGCUUUAUGGAGCUGUGCUCUGCGUGGUAUGCCUGGACUUACUUUCUUACCAACUUGGACAGUUAUCACUUGGUAUGCCUGUAAUUAUUCCAAGGUAUGUUUGUUAGUGGGAAAAAAUAGCUUUUUUUCAUUUUAAAGAUUCCACAUAACUAAUACAUAACACAUUUUCCAAAUGUAUUUUGUACAAAUUUUUCCUUUUUAGAAGCAAAGAAAAUAGUAAUGGGAAAAGGAAUCUUGCACAGCAAGAAACGUAGCUUUUAGUAAUGUCAUGAAUCACAUAUACACAAUUACUGUCUUUUGCUAGUCACCUCUGCUCUAAUCUGUGAUCAUGUGUUAAAACAAAGAAAGUAAAAGGUCUUAUGUGAACUAUGUGCAUAGAAAUAAAGUUCUGACUAAGGAAAACACAUUCUCUCUGUAAAAGGACUUCCCUGUUACCUGAAGAAGUGAAAACACUGAGUUGCUUGGCAUGUUGGCAUUAUCUUGAGGAAAAGCAGCAUUCUUAAAGAGCGUCAUGGUGGACAUAGAUUUUUGAGGAAGGAUUUGGUGAGUGUAGUAAUGCUUUCUUUAUCAGCUGAGCCUGAGGUGAAGAAUUGUAUCUAAAAUGAGAUGUGGAAGAAGAUGGGGAGAGGCAUGGAGAAGACACACGAUCGGUGCAGUGGGAGGCCUGGGAGGAGGUACUGGGGCUGAUGGAAUCAGCAGAUACUGCGAUGUACUGUGAAAGCAUCAGAGUGGCAGGGUGAGAAGCUUGUGUUGCGCAGGGUGCAGAGGGAGCUGUUAGUGGAAUUAGAGAGAGGCUGACAUGGGAGAUGUCUUUGCAUUUCCGUUUUGAAUGACUCUGAGGAAGAGCAGAGGAGUGGAAGAGAACAGCUUGCAGUAAUUGAUAUGGGCUGCCUAUGUUUCUGCUGCAUUAAUGCAGUCCCUCUGAAUUCAUGUUCACCCAGGCCACAGAUGUAGAGACCGCUGCUCUUUGACCAACAAACUCGUACACCUCUUCCCCGUAUGACUAUGAGGAAUGGAAGAAAAUGGGAAAUGGUUGGUUUUUUGCUUAGGGAAAAUAUGAUAGACAACUUCUUCAUUUUUUUUUUAAACUAUGUUAGUCUGUUCAGCAGAAUUAGUUCUGUAUUUUUUUGCAAAAUAAGGUGACAUUUUAGAAACUCAACAUUACAUUUUAUAAGAAAGGUAGCUAUACAAAAGUACAGCUCUAUUGUAAAUUCAAGCUGCAAGCAAUGGACAGUUAAAGGUUUCAGAGAAUGCUUUAAAAUUCCUUUUAAAAUUUCUGCUGUAUACAUGUAGAUCUGUCCAUGAAGAAAUACCUUCUGUUGAAGUUCUAAGUAUAAAAAUGUUGUGAUUUUUAGUGUUUUUUUAAAAGUUCCAAUAAAAGUCAUGCUUAUGAAAACCUUUACACUGCAGUAAUCACGGAAGGGCAAACUGUCUACAAUUUCUUUUACUCCUAGCUAUUUUUAUAUAAAAAAGGAUGCCCACAGUAUUUACAAUCCCGAUGUCAAAGUUGUGAAAGUAUCUGAAACUAAAAGAGAUACAGCCUUCGUUGAUUCUUGUGUGUCUGCUGAGAGUCGCACAAAACGAACUUAACAAGCCCUGACUUCACUGCGUUUUUAGAAUCAGUUUUACUUUCACUAGUCAAAUACGCGACAAGUCAGUAAGGCAGUUCUAACACUGAAAAUAUCAGUGGCACCCAGCAAAUGCAUUACUAUUUUUUGUGUUUGCCAGUUUUGUGGCUGGUCUGAUAGGACUUACUGAGUAUGUCACAAUGAACAGUGAAGACAUGCAUGGAGCAAACACAGUUUUCUUCUUCCAGCCUUUUUUCUCUAGAUUAGUUCUUCGGUAGCUGGUUAAUGUUUCAUGGGGUUGGAUGUUUGCUAACAUUUGGCUGACUGUAGAAUUUGCUAAUUGUUAACCACUGCUUGUUCCUCUGCAAUACUUGUGUAUGAAGGGUUACUUCCAUUGUUUAGUAAAAAGGUUUCUUGAGCAAACUUUAAAGAUAAAAGCAAAACCCCAAAUGGAGAGAGUUCAGAGAACAGCGACAAGGAAACUUCAGCCUUCUCUGUGCUACAUGCCAACCUAGGGGUAAGUUCUGGCUUUUUCUUAUCUUCUAAUGACUUAAUCUUAUUGUUGAAGGCCUACUUUGGCAGCGGUAGCAUCCUGCUUUUGCACUUGCACUAGUGAUAGGUGUGGCUUUGAACAGUCUUCAAAUCUUACACCUUUGCAACUCUCAGUACGUCUUUCAGCUUACAGGUAGCAGGUGUUACUCCGUACCUUGCUGGCUGACGUGUACAUUGUUCUCUUCCAAAAACGGGAAUUGUGCAAUUCAUGACCUGGCAGUAACAUUUCUGACAGGGUCCCUGGCUUUUUGGCGGGCAUAGAGCUUGCUCUCGAUAUGGUGGUAUUCAGGUUUUGAGGGUUUCAUUGCCGUUCGUCUCUGCAUAAUCCAGAUCUGUUAAUUCUCACCUUGGGUUAAUUAGAGUUCGUAAAGCACUUUGUAAACCUCAGUGGACAGGUGCUAGACACGUAUAAACCUUUUAUAGGUGCUGCAGGUGUGCUGACAGGCUGCUGCUGCACCAUGGGCUGUCUGGUUGCCUUACAGUCUGUGUGAUUUUUCAGUUACUAUAUUGGCAUACUCUGGAUCUUAAGUUAUUCAGUAUUACUUUUUUACUGAGCUGAACUUUUAAUUAAACAGCUGUGAAAGCAGAUGAAGAUCUUAAGAAGGGAGAGGAGUUAAAUAUUACUGUUCUUCCGUGUUGUCCUUUGGAGGAGGGAUUUAUUGUGGUGUUUAGGCAGCAAUUGCUCCAAAGAUGUUUUUGCAAAGAAAUAUCUGUCCUCCAGCUCCAUAAUUAUUAGAUGAUCAGAAGCUUGAGAUGCGUUAUCUAAAACAGCACAGAAACUUUGCCGUUUCAUUACUGCUGAGACUGGAGAGGCAAGACUUGUAGGAAGAGGUAACUGAUUAGAAUUCUGGGGCCAGCACCACAAAGAACAUUUCAGCUUGUAUUUCCUGUUGACUUGAGAAACCAAGUUUGUCCUGCUAACCAUUGGAAAGACCCUUUAAAAGAUACUGUCAGACAGUUGGGCCUGGGUAGGAACUCUUGGUUUCUAUGACUUCAGUUGCAGUUGGAAGAAGAUGCUGUAGAUAAGCCGGGAGCUUUGCAAAGUCAGGUAAAGAGACGGGAUGCAGCAUCAGACUAGGAUCAGCGAUCUACCAACUAAAAAAAAAAUGGUUUUUUGGGUGCCUGCCAUAGCAGCAGUGUGUUUAAUGUCUACAGCAAGUGUGUGUUUGAUGGAGUCUGAAAAAACUUGCUAAUGUUUAGAUGUGUCUUUUGGUCUGUUUUAGAAGUUGGAGCCUGAUUUGUCACGAGGUGGCAGCACGGGAGAAGGAAAGACUUCAUUUUCCUCUCAUUCUGGCAAACAUCUGAAUCUUUCUUUUCCAAAGUGGAGAAAAAGAUGGUCUUGUACACGGCUCCCCAGGUGACUCUGUUCCUUUGAAAGUAACUGAAAGUCAUUGCAACUGCUGAAGAAAGUAUGAAACCUCAGGUAGGGGCAGGUGUUGCUUGUAGCUGAAAUUGCUGUCCUGGUUUGAAAUGGAGAAACCAGUUGUAGCUUAAACUUCACCUGAUGAUGGGAUAAAUAAUAAUCAGUGUCUUAGGAGCACAGCAAAUGGUCCCUCUACUACCAACGCCGGCUCUCAAACAUAGAAUGCUCGUAAAGCUGUCUUCUGUCACUACCAUUGGUGUUCACAAACUGAGUAUGCAGCUGCUGCCACCAGCAACGUGCAACAUAAUGGUCGGAUGCCAGGCAGUCGAGCAGAAUGGCUGGACAGUACGAUGGUUCAUUGCACCACAUGACACUAAGAAGCUGUGCUGGAAAAUUUUACUUGACAGACUGAAGGUUUUCAAAGCUCCAUCUGGUCGGGACCUGGAUCUUCCUGGAAAGAUGUUCACUCACUGAUAGGCCAAGGUCAGUGAAACUCCGCUGCUGCCCCUGUCCUCACCUGGAAUUGUUUCUCACUUAUGGUAGCGCAUCUCCUCUUCUGUGACCCUGUGCAAUGAAGAGGUCUACAUCUGAUAAUGAAAACCAGGAGCAUGAAAUAUCUAAGCAAAAACGAAGCUGGCAAGGACUGUCUUUGUUCUAUUACUCCCUAUUUGUGGUGAACUUGCCUUUUUGCAUUAAUAAUCUUGUAUGAUAGCUGGACCACUGCAAAUAUGAGUGUCAUAUGUAAAAGAUACUGUGCCAGAUUCUAUCCUUGAAUUUGUGGUAUUGUUCAUAUUGGCAAUCCAUAGUUUGUGUUAUUUCUUUUUUUUCCCUUCAUAUAUUGUCUCUUGGAUUUUACAUUAAAAAGCU